CCCUUGAUAGUCUACCUGUGAGGACACUCGCCCGGUAAGCGAGAGAUCCGAGUUUGAUUCCCGGCCGAGGUA
rnacentral:tRNA from 1 species